rnacentral:rRNA from 1 species
CCUACGGGUGGCAGCAGUGGGGAAUAUUGCACAAUGGGGGAAACCCUGAUGCAGCGACGCCGCGUGAGUGAAGAAGUACUUCGUUAUGUAAAGCUCUAUCAGCAGGGGAGAAAAUGACGGUACCUGAGUAAGAAGCUCCGGCUAACUACGGGCCAGCAGCCGCGGUAAUACGUAGGGGGCAAGCGUUAUCCGGAUUGACUGGGUGUAAAGGGAGCGUAGACGGCAGUGCAAGUCUGGAGGGAAAGGCGGGAGGUCAACCCCCGGACUGCUCUGGGAACUGUACGGCUGGAGUGAAGGAGAGGUAAGUGGAAUUCCGAGGGUAGCGGUAAAAUGCGUAGAUAUAUGGAAGAACAUCAGUGGCGAAGGCGGCCGCCUGGCCUGUUAACUGACGCUGAGGCACGAAAGCGUGGGGAGUAAAUAGGAUUAGAUACCCCGGUAGUC